rnacentral:rRNA from 1 species
GAGUAACACGUGGGUGGAUCUGCCAUGCACUUCGGGAUAAGCUUGGGAAACUGGGUCUAAUACCGGAUAGGACCAUCGUUUAGUGUCGGUGGUGGAAAGUUUUUUCGGUGUGGGAUGAGCUCGCGGCCUAUCAGCUUGUUGGUGGGGUAAUGGCCUACCAAGGCGUCGACGGGUAGCCGGUCUGAGAGGGUGUACGGCCACAUUGGGACUGAGAUACGGCCCAG